UUAUACUGCACUCUAACUGCUGUUAUCCUGUACAAUUGCUGCAGUAAAAAAACGGUGUUAUUUUGUACUCAGUAUUUGCAGCAUACUGCAGUUAUACUGCACUCUAACUGCAAUUAUACUGUUGUGUACUGCAGUUAUACUGUACUCUGACUGCAAUCUUAUUUCGUAAGGGCCGUCUAUCCAGGAUUGCUAAAUAAUUAGCUACAAAGGCUGCUUCUGAUUAUUCCUCUUUCCAAAAAGAGCUAGACGACGAUUGUUUUUGUUCAUGUUCUUUUAUAUACAGCCCUAUUUAUUUGAACCGGAAUAAACUGGAGAGGAGUUGAGACAACGAUAAAAAUAAUUGCGAAACCAUUGCGAGACCUAGACCAGCUGGACCAGGACUCAGGGGGGCAAAUGACAAACGCACAAAAGGAUACAAAGAAGUUUGUGACUCUCAAGAGAUGUGAAAGGUUCCAUAACAACAAUCUCCCCUGUAUCAAAGUGACAUCGAACACCUCAUUGCACCACCAAACACACAAUAUGCAAGUAUUUCCUAUGUAGAACUGUAGUAUUUAUUAUAAGCGUUAGUGUACAGUAAAAUAAAAAAUAUACUGUCGUACAUUGUCAUAACUGCCCCUGCAUACUGCUUUGUAAACUCACCUCGGUCUCCAGAGUAAAUACGUUUUGUCUUGAA